GACGUAGGGCGCGAGCGUUGUCCGGAUUUAUUGGGCGUAAAGAGCUCGUAGGCGGCUUGUCGCGUCGACUGUGAAAACCCGUGGCUCAACCAUGUGGUCUGCAGUCGAUACGGGCAGGCUAGAAUUCGGUAGGGGAGACUGGAAUUCCUGGUGUAGCGGUGAAAUGCGCAGAUAUCAGGAGGAACACCGGUGGCGAAGGCGGGUCUCUGGGCCUUACCUGACGCUGAGGAGCGAAAGCGUGGGGAGCGAACAGG
rnacentral:rRNA from 1 species